rnacentral:misc_RNA from 1 species
CAACCCUCAAGCUCUGCUUGGUGAUGGGGCACCGCCUGUGAAAGGGCGGGCCCUGAAAUCUAGUGGCGAGCUCGCCAGGACCCCGAGCGUAGUAGUUACAUCUCGCUCUGGAAGGCCCUGGCGGUGCCCUGCCGUUAAACCCCCAACUUCUGAAA